rnacentral:rRNA from 1 species
GAUGAACGCUGGCGGCGUGCUUAACACAUGCAAGUCGAACGGAAAGGCCCAAGCUUGCUUGGGUACUCGAGUGGCGAACGGGUGAGGAACACGUGGGUGAUCUGCCCUGCACUUCGGGAUAAGCCUGGGAAACUGGGCCUAAUACCGGAUAGGACCACACUUUGGGUGGUGUGGUGGAAAGUUUUGCGGUGUGGGCUGAUGUCGCGGCCUAUGAGCUUGUUGGUGGGGUAAUGGCCUACCAAGGCGUCGACGGGUAGCCGGCCUGAGAGGAUGUACGGUCACAUUGGGACUGAGAUACGGCCCAGAGUCCGACGUGAGGCAGCAGUGGGGAAUAUUGCACAAUGGGCGCAAGCCUGAUGGAGCGAGGCCGCGUGGUGGAUGACGGCCUUCGGGUUGUAAACACCUUUCGCUAGGGACGAAGCGUUUUUGUGACGGUACCUGGAGAAGAAGCACCGGCUAACUACGUG